rnacentral:rRNA from 1 species
GAUGAACGCUGGCGGCGUGCCUAAUACAUGCAAGUCGAGCGAACGGACGAGAAGCUUGCUUCUCUGAUGUUAGCGGCGGACGGGUGAGUAACACGUGGAUAACCUACCUAUAAGACUGGGAUAACUUCGGGAAACCGGAGCUAAUACCGGAUAAUAUUUUGAACCGCAUGGUUCAAAAGUGAAAGACGGUCUUGCUGUCACUUAUAGAUGGAUCCGCGCUGCAUUAGCUAGUUGGUAAGGUAACGGCUUACCAAGGCAACGAUGCAUAGCCGACCUGAGAGGGUGAUCGGCCACACUGGAACUGAGACACGGUCCAGACUCCUACGGGAGGCAGCAGUAGGGAAUCUUCCGCAAUGGGCGAAAGCCUGACGGAGCAACGCCGCGUGAGUGAUGAAGGUCUUCGGAUCGUAAAACUCUGUUAUUAGGGAAGAACAUAUGUGUAAGUAACUGUGCACAUCUUGACGGUACCUAAUCAGAAAGCCACGGCUAACUACGUGCCAGCAGCCGCGGUAAUACGUAGGUGGCAAGCGUUAUCCGGAAUUAUUGGGCGUAAAGCGCGCGUAGGCGGUUUUUUAAGUCUGAUGUGAAAGCCCACGGCUCAACCGUGGAGGGUCAUUGGAAACUGGAAAACUUGAGUGCAGAAGAGGAAAGUGGAAUUCCAUGUGUAGCGGUGAAAUGCGCAGAGAUAUGGAGGAACACCAGUGGCGAAGGCGACUUUCUGGUCUGUAACUGACGCUGAUGUGCGAAAGCGUGGGGAUCAAACAGGAUUAGAUACCCUGGUAGUCCACGCCGUAAACGAUGAGUGCUAAGUGUUAGGGGGUUUCCGCCCCUUAGUGCUGCAGCUAACGCAUUAAGCACUCCGCCUGGGGAGUACGACCGCAAGGUUGAAACUCAAAGGAAUUGACGGGGACCCGCACAAGCGGUGGAGCAUGUGGUUUAAUUCGAAGCAACGCGAAGAACCUUACCAAAUCUUGACAUCCUUUGACAACUCUAGAGAUAGAGCCUUCCCCUUCGGGGGACAAAGUGACAGGUGGUGCAUGGUUGUCGUCAGCUCGUGUCGUGAGAUGUUGGGUUAAGUCCCGCAACGAGCGCAACCCUUAAGCUUAGUCGCCAUCAUUAAGUUGGGCACUCUAAGUUGACUGCCGGUGACAAACCGGAGGAAGGUGGGGAUGACGUCAAAUCAUCAUGCCCCUUAUGAUUUGGGCUACACACGUGCUACAAUGGACAAUACAAAGGGCAGCGAAACCGCGAGGUCAAGCAAAUCCCAUAAAGUUGUUCUCAGUUCGGAUUGUAGUCUGCAACUCGACUACAUGAAGCUGGAAUCGCUAGUAAUCGUAGAUCAGCAUGCUACGGUGAAUACGUUCCCGGGUCU